UUUGUAAGAAGUGUUAAUAAUUUAAUUUAUUUAUGCAUCGAGAUUUUGGGCACUAUUAAUAUGGAAUUAUAUAAAACCUCGAUUAUUUAUAUCGAAAUCCGGACAUAGGGAUUUUGUGUUGGCUUUGGAACAAAAGGCUAUUUUAUUUUAUUUUUUUUCCCGUUCUGAGGAUAGUCUAAAGAAAAAAAAAACGCACCUACCUAUCACUUAGCGGAGGGGACUAAGUGGAGCCGGUGAUGACUCAUUAGCUUAGGAAACCCUAUUAAGCUGAAAAGCGGUAGCUUCCAUCUGUCCCAGGUGAAGUUAAUGUCAGCUGUAAUUUAUUCACCGUAGUAAUAAGGGCUCCUUUCAGGCGACACACACACUUUAUUUCGUCCUCACCUUCUCCUGCCGACGAGCUUAGCGCACCGAAACAGCACCCGCACCCUCUCCUUUCGCCACCGACUCUAGAGAAAGCGCCUUAUGUUUCAUAAUAAAGAAGAUUUGGGGUUGACACAGACCAUGUAUAAUACUUUGUACUUGCCGAGACGUGUAAAUAAACGUUUUCUUUAAAAACGCCUCUCCGCUCCCUGCGUGCCUCGGGGCGCCGCCGCCGCACCGGGACCGGGACGGGGACGGGGACGGGGACCGGAGCCGGGCUGGAAACGGCGGGGCCGAGCCGGAGCCUGAACGGCCGCGUCUCCGUGCGCGGGCACCCUGGGAGGCACAGGCUGCGUGCUUACCUUCCCUCCUCUCGGAGCUUCAAGCCUGGGAAAACUCCUGUUCAAACACAUGGGGAUGGAAAACGAGGCUACAAGGUAAAAUACUCUCUUGAAGUCACUGUGGAAAGUAGGAGCUGGCUGCCUAAAGGCGCCUCUGUGCUGUGCGUUCAGAGAUGUCCAGGUGUCCGUGGAGCUGAGGCACCUGACAGCUUUCCUGUGCUCUCUGGGUGGCACAGGUGAAGGCUCCCGCACCUCUUCUGGAGCUGGGCACAAUGUGCUGCCGUGCCCCAUGCCAUUCUUCAAAACACCUUGAUUGAUUACAUUUUUUAAAGUGAAAUCUGGCCCUGGGUAGGGGACUCAUGCAGCACAUCUCCCAGUAACAUUUACAGAGCACCCGUGCAAGGAUCGGCGUGCCUGCCGUGUGGACCUUGGUGGCCUCACUGAAGUUUUCAGCCAGAGCUGUGGAGUACCCAGUGCACUCCCGUGGACGAGGCUGUGGGAUUGGGACCUUCACUGCAAUGAGGUGGCUGCACUGCAGGGAUCAGGGCCAGGUGGUUCUGUUCCCGUUUUAU
rnacentral:lncRNA from 1 species